rnacentral:rRNA from 1 species
GAUGAACGCUGGCGGCGUGCCUAAUACAUGCAAGUCGAGCGAACGGACGAGAAGCUUGCUUCUCUGAUGUUAGCGGCGGACGGGUGAGUAACACGUGGAUAACCUACCUAUAAGACUGGGAUAACUUCGGGAAACCGGAGCUAAUACCGGAUAAUAUUUUGAACCGCAUGGUUCAAAAGUGAAAGACGGUCUUGCUGUCACUUAUAGAUGGAUCCGCGCUGCAUUAGCUAGUUGGUAAGGUAACGGCUUACCAAGGCAACGAUGCAUAGCCGACCUGAGAGGGUGAUCGGCCAAACUGGAACUGAGACACGGUCCAGAAUCCUACGGGAGGCAGCAGUAGGGAAUCUUCCGCAAUGGGCGAAAGCCUGACGGAGCAACGCCGCGUGAGUGAUGAAGGUCUUCGGAUCGUAAAACUCUGUUAUUAGGGAAGAACAUAUGUGUAAGUAACUGUGCACAUCUUGACGGUACCUAAUCAGAAAGCCACGGCUAACUACGUG